rnacentral:rRNA from 1 species
UACAGAGGGUGCAAGCGUUGUUCGGAAUUACUGGGCGUAAAGCGCGUGUAGGUGGCGAUGUAAGUCGGGUGUGAAAUCCCUCGGCUCAACCGGGGAACUGCGUCCGAUACUGGCGGGCUUGAAUUCGGGAGAGGGAUGUGGAAUUCCAGGUGUAGCGGUGAAAUGCGUAGAUAUCUGGAGGAACACCGGUGGCGAAGGCGGCAUCCUGGACCGACAUUGACGCUGAGGCGCGAAAGCCAGGGGAGCAAACGGG